AAAGUCGUAACAAGGUUUCCGUAGGUGAACCUGCGGAAGGAUCAUUACAGAGUGCGAGGCUCAGUCGUGGCAUCUGCUGCGUGCUGGGCCGACCCUCCCACCCGUGUCGAUUUGUAUCUUGUUGCUUUGGCGGGCCGGGCCGCGCUGUCGCUGUCCGCAUGGACAUGCGUCGGCCGCCCACCGGUUUUCAACUGGAGCGCGCCCGCCAAAGACCCAACCAAAACUCAUGUUGUUUGUGUCGUCUCAGCUUUAUUAUGAAAAUUGAUAAAACUUUCAACAACGGAUCUCUUGGCUCUG
rnacentral:misc_RNA from 1 species